AACGAACGCUGGCGGCAUGCCUAACACAUGCAAGUCGAACGAGACCUUCGGGUCUAGUGGCGCACGGGUGCGUAACGCGUGGGAAUCUGCCCUUGGGUUCGGAAUCACAGUGAGAAAUUACUGCUAAUACCGUAUGAUGUCUUCGGACCAAAGAUUUAUCGCCCAUGGAUGAGCCCGCGUAGGAUUAGCUAGUUGGUGGGGUAAUGGCCUACCAAGGCGACGAUCCUUAGCUGGUCUGAGAGGAUGAUCAGCCACACUGGGACUGAGACACGGCCCAGACUCGAACGGGAGGCAGCAGUGGGGAAUAUUGGACAAUGGGCGCAAGCCUGAUCCAGCAAUGCCGCGUGAGUGAUGAAGGCCUUAGGGGUGUAAAGCUCUUUUAACCGGGAUGAUAAUGACAGUACCGGAAGAAUAAGCACCGGCUAACUCCGUG
rnacentral:rRNA from 1 species